CCCUUAGAUGUUCUGGGCCGCACGCGCGCUACACUGAUUCAUGCAACAAGUUUUGUCCUUGGCUGAUAGGCCUGGGUAAUCUUUGAACGUGAAUCGUGAUGGGGAUAGAUGAUUGCAAUUAUUCAUCUUCAACGAGGAAUUCCUAGUAAACGCAAGUCAUCAGCUUGCAUUGAUUACGUCCCUGCCCUUUGUACACACCGCCCGUCGCACCUACCGAUUGAAUGGUCCGGUGAAAUCUUCGGAUCUGAGAGAUGUCUGAUUAAACCAUAUCAUUUAGAGGAAGGUGAAGUCGUAACA
rnacentral:rRNA from 1 species